CAAACUUUUGAUGGCGACCGGCGCACGGGUGAGUAACACGUAUCCAACCUGCCUCAUACUCGGGGAUAGCCUUUCGAAAGAAAGAUUAAUACCCGAUGUCAUAGUCCUACCGCAUGAUGGGAUUAUUAAAGAAUUUCGGUAUGGGAUGGGGAUGCGUUCCAUUAGUUAGUUGGCGGGGUAACGGCCCACCAAGACAACGACGGAUAGGGGUUCUGAGAGGAAGGUCCCCCACAUUGGAACUGAGACACGGUCCAAACUCCUACGGAAGGCAGCAG
rnacentral:rRNA from 1 species